CUCUUUCCUCUAUUUUCUCUCUCUCCUCUCUCGACUGUCAUCACCCAACACCAUUGAUAAGAUUACUCCACCCUUCUCUGCACAUUCGUUAUCCCUUCAGUAAGAAGUUAAACCAUCAACUCCUCAUUCAAGCAACAACAGAACGAUUCUCAACCGAAACCUCUUAAGGUUCCCUCUUGAGCCCUUAUCUCAUUUACUCAACUGUAAAUUCAAGCAUAUCAAUGGUGUCAUUCCAGUAAACCACCAUACCAGU
rnacentral:lncRNA from 1 species